AUACGUAGGGGGCGAGCGUUGUCCGGAAUGAUUGGGCGUAAAGGGCGCGUAGGCGGCCGCUUAAGUCUGGAGUGAAAGUCCUGUUUUCAAGAUGGGAAUUGCUUUGGAUACUGGGGGGCUUGAGUGCAGGAGAGGUUAUCGGAAUUCCCGGUGUAGCGGUGAAAUGCGUAGAGAUCGGGAGGAACACCAGUGGCGAAGGCGGGUAACUGGACUGCAACUGACGCUGAGGCGCGAAAGUGUGGGGAGCAAACAGGAUUAGAUACCCUGGUAGUCCACACUGCAAACGAUGAAUGCUAGGUGUAAGAGGUAUCGACCCCUUUUGUGCCGGAGUCAACACAAUAAGCAUUCCGCCUGGGGAGUACGGCCGCAAGGUUGAAACUCAAAUGAAUUGACGGGG
rnacentral:rRNA from 1 species